CCUACGGGUGGCAGCAGUGGGGAAUAUUGGACAAUGGGCGAAAGCCUGAUCCAGCCAUGCCGCGUGUGUGAAGAAGGCCUUCGGGUUGUAAAGCACUUUCAGUGGGGAAGAAAGCCUUGGGGCUAAUACCCUCGAGGAAGGACAUCACCCACAGAAGAAGCACCGGCUAACUCCGUGCCAGCAGCCGCGGUAAUACGGAGGGUGCGAGCGUUAAUCGGAAUUACUGGGCGUAAAGCGCGCGUAGGCGGUCUGAUAAGCCGGUUGUGAAAGCCCCGGGCUCAACCUGGGAACGGCAUCCGGAACUGUCAGGCUAGAGUGCAGGAGAGGGAGGUAGAAUUCCCGGUGUAGCGGUGAAAUGCGUAGAGAUCGGGAGGAAUACCAGUGGCGAAGGCGGCCUUCUGGACUGACACUGACGCUGAGGUGCGAAAGCGUGGGUAGCAAACAGGAUUAGAUACCCGGGUAGUC
rnacentral:rRNA from 1 species